ACCCACUUUGACAACAUAGAAUUGUUUUCCCUCCUAAUCUAUAAUUUCCCCCCAAAACCAAUUUCCCUCCCCCAAAAUCUUCAUGUCUGGCUUAAUUUGGGGUAACCAACUAAUCCUAAAAAAAUUCACGCAUACAUAGGAAGACAUCUCCCUCUCUCUCCCUUUCUUGCAGAGAUUCAGUCACACACACAAGAUCCAGCAUCUCAUUCUGGCCACUGAACUUUCUCUCCAUCGGUCUCUUCAUCGUUUAUUCACUUCGCGCUCAUUCUGAGGGAUGUUCAGAUGUUCCUUGUCCUGUUCGGACGGUUUUGACGGGAUUUCUGGGCCGAACAGGACUUGCAGAAAAAAAGGUGAAUAAUGCGGCCCCGAGUCACCCUUUGGUGGCUCACUUAGUCACUUACAUCUGAAACAAGCAUUUACAUUGUGGACACAUUAGGUGACCUGAUGCAUAUUAAUAAAUUAACACCUACAGCUGUAACUGAAGGUUCAUUUUUGCCUGUUUUACAGGCCGUAAUAUUACGGUUGGUGAGGCUGAAAGAAGCAGAGUAACAAUUAUAGAGCUGCUACAACAGAGCCCAGAACAAGAUGCUGCAAGUGUACUGUUUUCUUCAACUAUAACCAACAAAAGGAAUUCUGUGAAGGUGAGUGUAGAGUUGGUGGUUGAGGCUGCGAAUCUCGAGUUUGCUAGCCAGCCGUUUGAGGUGCUGUACCACCCUCGCACAAGCACGCCUGAGUUCUGAGUGAAAGCGUCAACUGUAAACGCAGCAAUGCGGUUUAAGUGGUCUCCAGAAAUAAGUCAAGAUGGCUUUAGAUAAAAAGGAUUAGUCGCAAAUUAGCUGGUUCAUGGGCACGAUUUCUUUGUUUGAUGUCAAAGAACAGUUUCGUUGGCCGAAUUCACCUUGGAGGCUUCUUGAGGGAUACUCUUUAUACCGUUAGCUUUAUGAGUGAGAUAUUAAUUAACAUGUAUUUAUAAGUGAGAUAUUAUUGAUUAUGUAUGAAUUAUAACUAAACCGAAUGUUGAAAGAAACAAAGUAAAAUGAAAAGUUGAAACAAAAUGGAGAUUAGGUGUGCAGGUACCGAAUUUAACAUAGACUAAUAGUCUAAAGCCAUUGUUUUGUGUUCAUAUAGAAAUUCGUUGUGGCCAGUGACACAUAGAGGUGCACAAACUGGGUAAUUUUAAUAACCGGUUUCGGUUUCACGUUUUAACGGUUGGAACGGGUUCUAGUUCCGGUUAUUUGACCAAAAAACUAUACCCUAUGUGCACGGUUCCGGGUAAAGUUCGCUUUCGGUUCAUAAGAAACCGAAUAUUAAAAUACCCUAUUUUUGGGUUUUUCUAUACCUUAUUUCCGAGUUUUUAGUACUCUAUUUCCAGGUUUAGUAAUACUCUAUUGCGUUUGUAUUACCUUAUUUUUUUGACUUUUUGUUUAUUAUAAUUAUUAUUGUUAUUGGUAAAUAUGCAUUGUA
rnacentral:lncRNA from 1 species